GCGGUAGCUCAGCGGCAGAGCACCUGCUUUGCAUGCAGAAGGUCCCGGGUUCAAUCCCCUGCAUCUCCA